rnacentral:lncRNA from 1 species
GCUUGGCACUUCGCAAAUAUUUUCAGUCGUGGGAGAGCAGCCCUUUAUUUCAGUAGAGAAAGGAGGCUCCAGCCACACUUCAAAGAGAGGCUGAGGUUGGAGACCCUCCGACUGAAGGGUGGGGUAGGAGGGGAAAUCUGCACCCUCUGGAUGGAUGCCCCAGGAUGCUGAAGAGGAUCCUUCCCAUGGGCAUCUCUGGACCCUCCCAUGAGGAUAAUAUUAACUCACUGAUUGCAUGGCAUAUUUUUGGACCCAUUCACAGAAAAGAAG